rnacentral:rRNA from 1 species
CGCGCAGGCUGGAUAAUCAGUCUGGGGUGAAAACUUACGGCUUAACCGUAAGCCUGCCUCAGAUACUGUUAUUCUUGAGUUCGGAAGAGGGAAGUGGAAUUCCUGGUGUAGCGGUGAAAUGCGUAGAUAUCAGGAAGAACACCGGUGGCGAAGGCGGCUUCCUGGUCCGAUACUGACGCUGAGGCGCGAAAGCGUGGGGAGCAAACAGGAUUAGAUACCCUGGUAGUC